CCUACGGGGGGCAGCAGUGGGGAAUAUUGCACAAUGGGGGAAACCCUGAUGCAGCGACGCCGCGUGAGUGAAGAAGUAAUUCGUUAUGUAAAGCUCUAUCAGCAGGGAAGAAAAUGACGGUACCUGAGCAAGAAGCCCCGGCGAACUACGUGCCAGCAGCCGCGGUAAUACGGAGGGGGCAAGCGUUAUCCGGAUUUACUGGGUGUAAAGGGAGCGUAGACGGCAGUGCAAGUCUGGAGUGAAAGGCGGGGGCUCAACCCCCGGACUGCUUUGGAAACUGUAUGGCUGGAGUGCAGGAGAGGUAAGUGGAAUUCCUGGUGUAGCGGUGAAAUGCGUAGAUAUUAGGAGGAACACCAGUGGCGAAGGCGGCUUACUGGACUGUAACUGACGUUGAGGCUCGAAAGCGUGGGUAGCAAACAGGAUUAGAUACCCUUGUAGUC
rnacentral:rRNA from 1 species